GUGCUUGCUUCGGCAGCACAUAUACUAAAAUUGGAACCAUACAGAGAAGAUUAGCAUGGCCCCUGCGCAAGGAUGAAAAUAAAUUUAAAGCCUUGUGAAUAAAUGUG
rnacentral:snRNA from 1 species